rnacentral:rRNA from 1 species
UCCGACCUCAGAUCGAACGAGAAUACCCGCCGAAUUUAAGCAUAUUAAUAAGCGGAGGAAAAGAAACUAACGAGGAUUCCUACAGUAACGGCGAGUGA